CCCCUGCUAUCUUCUGCAAGGAGCUACCAGCCAUCUACUGGGCUCAUCGGCCUGCCCCAGCUGCAGGCCCGGUGCUACACGGGCUCGGGAACAGAACAUCGUGAGCACGCGCAGAGCGUGCCCAUCUGUGGCAGGCUCUUCAGCUCCCCUUUCUGCUUCUGGAAACCUCUGCCCCUGCUGCCGCCCUGGCCCUGCCUACCUGCGCACGCGCCGUCCCCAGGGCUGACCCAGUGUGGCUGCAUUCGCUGGGAGGGGGCUGCCCUCACUGGGCCUCUCCCACUCUGCUGCCUGUUCCUGCAGCUCCUUCCUGCAAAGCCGGAGGGGACUUUCUGCUGCAAGGGAGGAACACAAGUAUUAUGGACACACUUGACCGUAAAGGCACAGGAGCCUCGGAACAAGGGGGCGCAAUAAAGGGAAUGCCCUAUCCCCCUCCAGAGCCAGCCCAAAGAAGCCUGGGGCGUCCUCCAUGAGGGGGCGAUGAGGGGUGGGCAGCCUAGGGGAGGCUUUCCUCGCAAGCACAGAGCUCUGAGGCUCAGCCCCCUGGCACAGGCGGUCACACGCCUAGACGGUUCCUGCUCCUUGGCACCUUCCGUGCAGUUCCUAGUGCCCUGGGAGGUCACACUGCCCAUCGGACCAUGGCAUGCUCUGUUCAGCUGACCUGCUGAGGACAGGCGCCGCCGAGACUCCUUGGGUCCUCCCCGCCCGCCCUCAUGCUGCCAUGAGCUGCUGCUCCGAGGCCUGGCCACAUGCAGACAGGAGGAAGCUGAGCUCGACAUUGGGCCUCAAGGCUGCCAUGUGUCUCGUAGGGCCUGGCCUUGUGGGCAGGGGGCAGUCCUGUGCCUUGUGGGCCCUCAGCCUGUGAGGGUGGAGAGGCUGUCAGUGCCGUGGGUGCAUCACACACUUCUAGCAUCCUCUCCACCCUGCAUCCCCCAAAUGCUGCUUGCUGCCUGCCCUACACUCCGAUGCAGGGGUGGGGUGGGGGACAGGGGGAGGGUCCUAGCAGUGCCACCCUGCCCCAGCCUGAGGAGGAGGGAGGGGGAGGAACAACCCUGGGCAAACGGGGCCUCGGGGACUUGUGUCCUUCCUCCUCCAGAGCUGCCCAGCCGGGGGCUUUCAGGGUGCUGGGGCAGCCCCAGGUCCCCUCUUGACCUCAGCUGGGGCCAGGGGCCCUCAAAAUGAAGGCAGGCCCCAGGUAGGAGCAGCAUCCCCCUCCCUGACAAUGCUGGCCAGAGGGCCGUGCCAUGCUGACUGCCUGAACCUCUGCUGACCUGAUGGUGCUGGCGGGAGGGCCGCGCCAUGCUGACUGCCUGAACCUCUGCUGAGGCUGCCUGCCUGCCAGGCCCAGCUCAGCACCCUCUCCACUGCAAAUCAGCGGUGAUCAUGUGAUUUCUAUUUCUGCCCCACAGGGUAAGGGAUGAGUCUUCUGGAAGCCUCUGCCAUGGACAUUUGUCCUCGGGCUCAGAGGCCUUACCCUGCCCCACGCCUGCCCCUAAUCACUGCAGUGUCCAGCCCAGUGUUGAACAGAUUGUAGCGUUCUGUCUCAUUAUGAGCAAAUACAUAGACUUUCACUGGA